rnacentral:rRNA from 1 species
AGCCUGACGCAGCGACGCCGCGUGGGUGAUGAAGGUCCUCGGGUCGUAAACCCCUUUCGACUGGGACGAAUGUCCCCCUCUGUAGGUCUGACGAGUGUGAUAGUACAAGCCCCGGAUACCUACGUUACCUCCGCGGCGGCAGCAGCUAGGGGGCCGAGGGUGUUAGGGUUUUUUGGAAGUAUUGGGUUCAUAGGCGGUGCAGCCAGCCGGUCAAGUCUUAUCUGGCCUUAACCCCUAUACUGCUUCAAAGACUGCUGAGCUCGAGUGGGUUGAAGGCGGGAGAAGAUACCGGAGUUUCGGGGGAAUACGUAAAAUUCUGCAAGAACCCCAGUGGCGAAGGCGGCGCGCUGGACUUUCUGUGCCGAUGAUGAACCUAAGAUACGAAAGCAUGGGGGACAAAAUACCNUGGUUACCGUGAUAG